UACUGAGGGUGCGAGCGUUAAUCGGAAUUACUGGGCGUAAAGCGCGCGUAGGCGGCUGUGCAAGUCGGGUGGGAAAUCCCCAGGCUUAACCUGGGAACUGCAUUCGAGACUGCAUUGCUAGAGUAUGGGAGAGGGAAGUGGAAUUUCCGGUGUAGCGGUGAAAUGCGUAGAUAUCGGAAGGAACAUCAGUGGCGAAAGCGACUUCCUGGACCAAUACUGACGCUCAUGUGCGAAAGCGUGGGGAGCAAACGG
rnacentral:rRNA from 1 species